AUUGAACGCUGGCGGAAUGCUUUACACAUGCAAGUCGAGCGGCAGCACGGGGGCAACCCUGGUGGCGAGCGGCGAACGGGUGAGUAAUACAUCGGAACAUGCCCAGUCGUGGGGGAUAACACUUCGAAAGAAGUGCUAAUACCGCAUACGUCCUGAGGGAGAAAGCGGGGGAUCUUCGGGCCUCGCGCGAUUGGAGUGGCCGAUGUCAGAUUAGCUAGUUGGUGGGGUAAAGGCCUACCAAGGCAACGAUCUGUAGCUGGUCUGAGAGGAUGAUCAGCCACACUGGGACUGAGAAACGGCCCAGACUCCUACGGGAGGCAGCAGUGGGGAAUUUUGGACAAUGGGGGCAACCCUGAUCCAGCCAUUCCGCGUGAGUGAAGAAGGCCUUCGGGUUGUAAAGCUCUUUCGGCAGGAACGAAACGGCGAGCUCUAACAUAGCUUGCUAAUGACGGUACCUGAAGAAGAAGCACCGGCUAACUACGUGCCAGCCGCCGCCGUAA
rnacentral:rRNA from 1 species